CCUACGGGAGGCAGCAGUGAGGAAUAUUGGUCAAUGGGCGCGAGCCUGAACCAGCCAAGUAGCGUGAAGGAUGACUGCCCUACGGGUUGUAAACUUCUUUUAUAAAGGAAUAAAGUGAGGCACGUGUGCCUGUUUGGAUGUAUUUUAUGAAUAAGGAUCGGCUAACUCCGUGCCAGCAGCCGCGGUAAUACGGAGGAGCCGAGCGUUAUCCGGAUUUAUUGGGUUUAAAGGGAGCGUAGAUGGGUUGUUAAAUCAGUGGGGAAAGUUUGCGGCUCAACCGUAAAACUGCAAUUGAUACUGGAAGCCUUGAGUACAGUUGAGGUAGGCGGAAUUCGUGGUGUAGCGGUGAAAUGCUUAGAUAUCACGCAGAACUCCGAUUGCGAAGGCAGCCUACUAAACUGCCACUGACAUUGAUGCUCGAAAGUGUGGGUAUCAAACAGGAUUAGAUACCCGGGUAGUC
rnacentral:rRNA from 1 species